rnacentral:lncRNA from 1 species
GCAACCACAAUUUCAUCUUCUUCCUUAUACGUCAAUGAGCACUAUCCACACGACAGGCCUACACUCUAUUCAAACAGCAAAGGGUUACCUUCCAGUUCAACAUUUACCUUGGAAGAGGGGACCAUCUACUUGACCGCUGAGCCCAACACUCUGGAAGUGCAGGAUGACAAUGCUUCUGUGCUUGACGUCUAUUUAUAAGUGAAAAUGGUGAUCACCUAAGCACAUGGAUGAGACGUGAGCACAGUUAUGGCAGAGAAGUUUCUCCGCACCAGAAUUAUCCACAGCAACUUGGCUGAGCCCCACUACACACAGAGAAAUCAUCAACCUGACUUAAGAGUUUUCAAGAUGUCAACUUCAGGCUGAUCAGCAGAUGGGAUGUGAAAAAUACUACCCUAUUCUAUCAUUUGCUGUUGCUUGCUGAACUGUGAAGAACUGCAUGAACUAUAUUUAAGCUGCUUUCUGUACCAUUGCCAAUCACCUUUUUGGAGUUGGAAGUGCUAUUUUCCUAUGGACUUUUGCAUUAUUUCAUUGUGCAUGCAUCCAGUGAUUAUACAUAAGCAACAUAUGUAAUCUGCUUAUAUAUUUUUAAAAAUCCAUCCACACACAUGGUAAAUUAAGUAUAAAUUCUUUUGCAAAAUUAUAGUUCAUGUCAUUGAAAGUUUAAAUUGGUUUCAUUUAAAGAUCAAUAUACUAGGUCUGCCUUCACUUUAUAGAAAACUAGCUUCUAUAAAGAUUUUUUCACUGUUUACUAGUGAAAUGAGAAAAGCAAAGCUAUUUAUAAAAGGCCUUAUGUCGUGUACAUACAUUGUCUUUGAAAUAUUUGUGAUCUAGUUUAUUGCUUGUAAAAGAGAAAUUAUAUAAUUUAUUUAGUAAAUACUACUGUAAACUAUAGUUUUGUGAGAGAAAUAAAAUAUUUUGUUCUC